UCCAUCCUGGGCCCUGGCGGUGGCACCCACCAGCAGUUUAGCCUCCAGGGAGAGCCCUGUGGGUGCCAGCUCCCCUCCCUCACACCUCUGGCCGUGGGGAGUCAGAACAGUGCCCUCAGCUCGAGCGAGAGGACCUGUGUCUCCCGCUCCUCUCACCUUGGCCUCGGUUUGCAGCUUGUCUGGCCCUUGGGUUCCAAACUUGCUGUUUCUCAUGUGUUUGUGAUUUGUGAAUCCCCCUCAGGCUGUGCUCUUCAUGAGGUUAUAACAAGUCUCAUAAGUGGUGACAUAAAACAUUAAAACAUCUUUUAACAACUGCCUCCCAUUGCUCCAAAGUCCUCAACCCUAGAUGGGGCUGGGCUUGGGGUUUGGUUCCCUUGAUUCUGUGUAACGGUCUCUGGACACACUGCCCUGAUGGGUCCAGGCUCCCGGGCAGGUUGGCCAGAACCUCAAAAGAUAAAACUGACCGAUGUGGAGUGGGGAACUCAGAAUCUCUCUGUGCCUCAGUUUACUCAUCUGUAAAGUGAUAACUGCACCCACUGCACUGGGGUGUCAUGAGGACUCAGUGAGGUAAUAACCGUAAAGUGCCGAGAACAGUGUCUAGCAUAUAGUGAGUGUGGUAUCAAGUACUUGUUCAGUUAUUUGAGACCAGCCUGGACAACACCGUGAGACCAUGUCUCUACAAAAAAAAAAAAAAAAAAAAAUUAUAAAUAAGCUGGGCACAUUGGUGGACACACAUAGUACCAGCUACAUGAGAGGCUGAGGCAGGAGAGUUACUUGAGCCCAGGAGUUUGAGGCUGCAGAGAGCUAGGAUUGUGCCACUGUACUCCAGCUUGGGUGACACAGUGAGACCCUGUCUUGGAAUGUGUUCUAAGGGUGUUCAUUAGCUAAUGGAGAAGGGCUUAGAAGAGUGAAGGAGAAGAACCUAGAGCUGUCCCUGA
rnacentral:lncRNA from 1 species